GAUGAACGCUAGCGGCAGGCUUAACACAUGCAAGUCGAGGGGCAGCGCGGGAUAGCAAUAUCCUGGCGGCGACCGGCGGACGGGUGCGUAACGCGUGAGCGACAUGCCCGUUGCCCGGGGACAACCGGUGGAAACGCCGACUAAUCCCCGAUGGGAUACGAUGCUUCAUGGCAUUGUAUUGAAAGUUACGGCGGCGACGGAUUGGCUCGCGUCCGAUUAGCUGGUUGGCGGGGUAACGGCCCACCAAGGCUGCGAUCGGUAGGGGUUCUGAGAGGAAGGCCCCCCACAAUGGGACUGAGACACGGCCCAUACUCCUACGGGAGGCAGCAGUGAGGAAGAUUGGUCAAUGGGCGGAAGCCUGAACCAGCCAUGCCGCGUGCGGGAAGGAGGCCCUAUGGGCUGUGAACCGCUUUUGCCUGGGGGCAAUAAGGGCGUCGCGCACGUCCGAUGAGAGUACCAGGCGAAUAAGCAUCGGCUAACUCCGUG
rnacentral:rRNA from 1 species